rnacentral:rRNA from 1 species
UUUAUUUAUAUUCUUAUUUUUUUAAUUAAUUUAAAUUAAUAUUGAUAAGCCAAUAAAAAAAUAAUUUAUAACGGUGACACAAAAUCGGAGGCCACGACUGUUUACUAAAAACACAACACAGUGCAAUCAUUAAUAUGAUAGUAUACUGUGUGAAAUUUGCCCGAUGCCAUUAAUAUAAGAGCGAUCAUGGUUUUCUGUGAUUAAUCGAAAAUCUGGUUAAUAGCGGUCUUAACUAUGAGGAUCCUAAGGUAGCAAAAUAAAUUGGCCUUUAAAUGAGGUCCGGUAUCAAUAAUGUAACGAUGGUCUCACUGUCUCUACAACUUGCUCAGUGAAAUUGAAUUACGCGUGCAGAUGCGCGUUGCCUUCAGGGGGACGGGAAGACCCUAUGCAG